rfam:Stegodyphus mimosarum contig47452, whole genome shotgun sequence.
GCCUUAGUGGUGUAGUGGUCAGCACGCUCGACGCGUAUUCGAGAGGUCCGUGGUUCGAGUCCCGCAAGGGCA